rnacentral:rRNA from 1 species
GAUGAACGCUAGCGGCAGGCUUAAUACAUGCAAGUCGAGGGGCAGCACGGUUAGCAAUAACUGGUGGCGACCGGCGCACGGGUGCGUAACACGUAUACAAUCUACCUUAAACAGGGGGAUAGCCUUUCGAAAGAGAGAUUAAUACCCCGUAAUAAAUUGAACGGCAUCGUUUGAUUUUGAAAGCUCCGGCGGUUUGAGAUGAGUAUGCGUCUGAUUAGCUAGUUGGUGAGGUAACGGCUCACCAAGGCGACGAUCAGUAGGGGAUCUGAGAGGACUAACCCCCACACUGGUACUGAGACACGGACCAGACUCCUACGGGAGGCAGCAGUAAGGAAUAUUGGUCAAUGGAGGCAACUCUGAACCAGCCAUGCCGCGUGCAGGAUGACGGCCCUAUGGGUUGUAAACUGCUUUUAUACAAGAGAAAACCCUGGUACGUGUACCAGGUUGAUAGUAUUGUAAGAAUAAGCAUCGGCUAACUUCGUGCCAGCAGCCG